GGGAGGGCAGCAGUAGGGAAUUUUCGUUCAAUGGGCGCAAGCCUGAACGAGCAAUGCCGCGUGAACGAGGAAGGUCUUCGGAUCGUAAAGUUCUGUUGAAGGGGAAAAAGAGCGGAGAGAGGAAAUGGUCUCCGAUUGAUAUUACCCUUCGAGGAAGUCACGGCUAACUACGUGCC
rnacentral:rRNA from 1 species